rnacentral:rRNA from 1 species
UACAGAGGUGGCAAGCGUUGUUCGGAAUUACUGGGCGUAAAGGGGGCGUAGGCGGCUUGGUCAGUCCCGUGUGAAAUCCCUCGGCUCAACUGAGGAACUGCACGGGAAACUGCCUGGCUUGAGUUCGGGAGAGGGAAGCGGAAUUCCGGGUGUAGCGGUGAAAUGCGUAGAUAUCCGGAGGAACACCGGUGGCGAAGGCGGCUUCCUGGACCGACACUGACGCUGAGGCGCGAAGGCGUGGGGAGCGAACGGG